AUGGAUAAGAAAAAACGUGGUAUGUGUAUACACACAGGAAUAUUAUUCACCUUAAAAAAGAAUGAGAUACUGCCAUUCAUGACAGCAAGCAUGGGCCUUGAUGGCAAUGUGCUAAGUGAUAUAAAUCAAACAGAGAAAGACAAAUUCCAUUUGAUCUCACUUAUACAUGGAAUCUAAAAACAACACACACACACAUACACCACACUCACAAGCAUAUAGAUACAGAGAACAAAUUAGUGAUUGCCAGAGGCAGAGAUGGGGCGGGCUGGCAAAAUGAAUAGAGGCAGUCAAAGGGUACAGACUUCCAAUUAUAAAACAAGUCAGUCCUGAGAGCGAACGGGCAGCAGGGUGGCUGUAGUUAGUAAUACCAUACUGCAUGUUUGAAAGUUGCCAAGAGAGUAGUUCUUAAAAGUUCUCAUCAUAAGAAAAAGAUUUUAAUAAUGUACAUUGUUGGAUGUUAACUAGAUUUAUUGUCACAAUCAUUUUACAAUAUAUACAAGUAUUGAAUCAUUAUACUGUACACCUAAAACAUAUUAGUGAUACCUCAAU